rnacentral:tRNA from 3 species
CAGAGGGUAGUUUAAUUUAGAAUCUUAGCUUUGGGAGUUAAGGGUGGGAGUUAAAA